rnacentral:rRNA from 1 species
UAAAAAAUUUGGCGGUAUUUUAGUCUAUUCAGAGGAACUUGUUCUAUAAUCGAUAAUCCACGAUGGACCUCACUUAAGUUUGUAUACAGUUUAUAUACCGUCGUUAUUAGAAUAUUUUAUAAGAAUAUUAAUUUUCUUAAUUUUUCAUUAAAAAAUAUAUCAGAUCAAGGUGUAGCUUAUAUUUAAGUAGAAAUGGGUUACAAUAAAAUUAUUUAUAUGAAUUUAAAUUUGAAAUGUUUUUUGAAAUUGGAUUUGAUAGUAAAAUUAUAAAGAUUAAUAAUUUGAUUUUAGCUCUAAAAUAUGUACACAUCGCCCGUCACUCUUAUUAUUAAGGUAAGAUAAGUCGUAACAUAGUAGAUGUACUGGAAAGUGUAUCUAGAAUGCAAUUUAAAGCUUUAUUAGUAAAGUAUUUCAUUUACAUUGAAAAGAUUUUUGUGCAAAUCAAUAUAAAUUGAUUAAAUUUUAUUUAUUAAUUUUUUUUGUUGUUAAAAUUAUUUAUUAAAAAUAAUUAUAAAAAUUAUUGUUUGAGUAUUUUAUAAAGAAAAAAUAAAUUUAAUUAUAGUUUAAUAGUAUUGUGAAAGAAAAUUGAAAUAAUUUGAAAAAUUUU